UGUGGGCUCAGAGGCAGAGCUCUGGGGUGUCUCCACCAUGGCCUGGACCCCUCUCCUGCUCCCCCUCCUCACUCUCUGCACAGGCUCUGUGGCCUCCUCUGCGCUGACUCAGCCCUCUGCCCUGUCUGUGGCCCUGGGAGGGACAGUCAGCAUCACCUGCCAGGGAGGAGACUUUGAAAACAAUUAUGUUCACUGGUACCAGCAGAAGCCAGCCCAGCGCCCUGCACUGCUCAUCUAUCGUGAUAGCAACCUGGCCUCAGGGGUCCCUGACCGAUUCUCCGGCUCCAGCUCAGGUGGAACGGCCACCCUGGCCAUCGCUAGGGCCCAGGUCGAAGACGAGGCUGUCUAUUUCUGUCAGUCUGGGGAUGAUGAAGAUAAUAUCCCCACAGAGCGCGGGGCUCCUGUGUGCAGUGCUACACUCCCCCUACUGUCCCUGCUGUCCCGGAGAGCUCUGGAAUUGUAUGACCACUCGGGGUCUCAGGUCCCACACUCACAUUGGGGUGGGGGCUGCCUGGAGCUGGAAUUUCUCAUCCAGGAUUCCUUGGAAUGUGAAGCUUAUGAAAAAUUUGCAAAAAGUUCCAAGAUUGAGACCCUGAAUGGAAGGUCCCCCAUAACUGCUGAGCUCUGA